rnacentral:rRNA from 1 species
CAGUCGCCGCGGUAAUACGAACCGUGCGAACGUUAUUCGGAAUCACUGGGCUUAAAGCGCGUGUAGGCGGAUGAGAGCGUCGGCCUCUGAAAUCCCCCGGCUCAACCGGGGAAGUGGAGCCGAAACGACCCGUCUGGAGGGACGUAGGGGGACCUGGAGCUUCCGGUGGAGCGGUGAAAUGCGUUGAGAUCGGAAGGAACGCCCGUGGCGAAAGCGAGGUCCUGGACGUCUGCUGACGCUGAGACGCGAAAGCCAGGGGAGCGAACGGGAUUAGAUACCCCGGUAGUCCCUGUCUCUUAUU